UGGGGAAUAUUGGACAAUGGGGGAAACCCUGAUCCAGCCAUGCCGCGUGAAUGAUGAAGGCCUUAGGGUUGUAAAGUUCUUUUGCCAGGGAAGAUGAUGACGGUACCUGGAGAAUAAGCACCGGCUAACUUCGUGCCAGCAGCCGCGGUAAUACGAAGGGUGCAAGCGUUGUUCGGAAUUACUGGGCGUAAAGCGCGCGUAGGCGGCGUGAUAAGUCAGUGGUGAAAUCCCAAGGCUCAACCUUGGAACUGCCAUUGAAACUGUCACGCUGGAGUAUCGGAGGGGAGAGCGGAAUUGCUAAUGUAGCGGUGAAAUGCGUAGAUAUUAGCAGGAACACCGGUGGCGAAGGCGGCUCUCUGGACGAUUACUGACGCUGAGGCGCGAAAGCGUGGGGAGCAAACAGGAUUAGAUACCCGGGUAGUCC
rnacentral:rRNA from 1 species